UCCUGGAGACAUCUACAGAGCCAUCACCAGCACACUGAAGGCUCUUCUGAAAGACAAAAGUCUGACUUUCCAGAAGAGCAGUUGGUAUGGUGAUGAUCUCUGUCCUGCUGCCUGGGACUACGUAUUCAGCCUGGACCUUCUCUGUGCACAACUGGGCUGGAUUUGGACCGUCUCCCAUGUUAUACGAAAAAGUGUGUGGCUCAUUUUGAACACUUGGCUGAAACAAACACAAACAGAGGAAACAAAGUUCAGAAACGUCUCUGUAGCAGCAAUAUUCAGGCUACUUGGGCGACUUGGCCAACAAGGCCUUAAGGAGAACGUGGCAGCAUCAGUUGAGGAUCUGGUGAAAAGUGUAAAUGAGUUCAGGGGGCAAAAAGAUUUGCCGUGGGAGCUGCAGCUCGCAGUGGUUUAUGCCACUCAUGAUCUGGCACCCAGCAACCCCAAAGUCGCUCUGAACGCUUUGGAGUCGUGGAGAAAAGACCUCACAAAGCCCGUUCCUCCAGCCGUCACCAAGUGCCUGAAGCAGAUCAGCUUCCUCUGUUCUCACAUAAAUACAAAACAAUUAAUUACAUUAAAUAUUGUUUAAUAGAUUGUUUUUUUCUUUUAUAUUUUUGUAGAUAAAUAAAUAAAUAAAAUACAUAAUAGAUCUGCACAGUGUUAUUGAUCGUCUCUUUACAGUGGCGGGUCGUGCAUUUUACACCCAAUCAUCUGCCUUCAGUCCCAAUCAUCCUCUUAAUAACAUCAAUAUGAUGCC